rnacentral:rRNA from 1 species
GGAGGUCCGAACCCACGAGCGUUGAAAAGCUCGGGGAUGACUUGUGGGUAGCGGUGAAAUUCCAAUCGAGCCCGGAGAUAGCUGGUUCUCCCCGAAAUAGCUUUAGGGCUAGCCUCAAGGUGAGAGAUACGGAGGUAGAGCACUGAAUGUCCUAGGGGGUAUUGCACCUACCGAAGACUAUCAAACUCCGAAUGCCGUCAUCUUAUACUUGGGAGUCAGACUGUGGGUGAUAAGAUUCAUAGUCGAAAGGGCAACAGCCCAGAUCGUCAGCUAAGGUCCCUAAAUGUAAGUUAAGUGGUAAAGGAUGUGGGAUUGCACAGACAACCAGGAUGUUGGCUUAGAAGCAGCCACUCAUUCAAAGAGUGCGUAAUAGCUCACUGGUCGAGUGAUCCUGCGCCGAAGAUUUCCGGGGCUAAAACUUACUACCGAAGCUACGGCAUCAGUAAUGAUGGGUAGGGGAGCUUCCCAUACGGGUUGAAGCAUGACCGUAAGGACAUGUGGACAGUAUGGGAGUGAGAAUGUUGGCAUGAGUAGCGAGAUGUGGGUGAGAAUCCCACAGGCCGUAAACCCAAGGUUUCCAGGGGAAGGUUCGUCCGCCCUGGGUUAGUCGGGACCUAAGCUGAGGCCGAAAGGCGUAGGUGAUGGACAACAGGUUGAUAUUCCUGUACUACCGAUAACCGUUUGAGAGAUGGGAUGACACAGUAGGAUAAGCUAAGCACACUGUUGGUUAUGUGUGCCCAAGCAUUGAGGCAGUCAAAGUAGGCAAAUCCGCUUUGAUAAUGCUGGGAUGGGAUGGGGAGCGAAAUUUAGUAGCGAAGUAGCUGAUUUCACACUGUCAAGAAAAGUCUCUAUCGAGGUUAAAGGUACCCGUACCGCAAACCGACACAGGUGGGUGAGGAGAGUAUCCUAAGGCCAGCGAGAGAACUGUUGUUAAGGAACUCGGCAAAAUGACCCCGUAACUUAGGGAUAAGGGGUGCCACCAUCCGGUGGCCGCAGAGAAUAGGCCCAAGCGACUGUUUACCAAAAACAUAGGUUUCUGCUAAGUCGCAAGACGAUGUAUAGGAGCUGACGCCUGCCCGGUGCUGGAAGGUUAAGGGGAUCUGUUAGAG